rnacentral:rRNA from 1 species
AUACGUAGGGUGCGAGCGUUAAUCGGAAUUACUGGGCGUAAAGCGUGCGCAGGCGGUUUUGUAAGACAGUGGUGAAAUCCCCGGGCUCAACCUGGGAACUGCCAUUGUGACUGCAAGGCUGGAGUGCGGCAGAGGGGGAUGGAAUUCCGCGUGUAGCAGUGAAAUGCGUAGAUAUGCGGAGGAACACCGAUGGCGAAGGCAAUCCCCUGGGCCUGCACUGACGCUCAUGCACGAAAGCGUGGGGAGCAAACAGGAUUAGAUACCCUGGUAGUCCACGCCCUAAACGAUGUCAACUGGUUGUUGGGAAUUUAUUUUCUCAGUAACGAAGCUAACGCGUGAAGUUGACCGCCUGGGGAGUACGGCCGUAAGGUUAAAACUCAAAGGAAUUGACGGGG